AUUGAACGCUGGCGGAAUGCUUUACACAUGCAAGUCGAACGGCAGCACGGACUUCGGUCUGGUGGCGAGUGGCGAACGGGUGAGUAAUGUAUCGGAACGUGCCCAGUCGUGGGGGAUAACGUAGUGAAAAUUACGCUAAUACCGCAUACGAUCUAUGGAUGAAAGCGGGGGAUCGCAAGACCCCGCGCGAUUGGAGCGGCCGAUAUCAGAUUAGGUAGUUGGUGGGGUAAAGGCCCACCAAGCCAACGAUCUGUAGCUGGUCUGAGAGGACGACCAGCCACACUGGAACUGAGACACGGUCCAGACUCCUACGGGAGGCAGCAGUGGGGAAUUUUGGACAAUGGGCGAAAGCCUGAUCCAGCCAUUCCGCGUGCAGGAUGAAGGCCCUCGGGUUGUAAACUGCUUUUGUACAGAACGAAGAGGUUUCUACUAAUACUAGGAGCUCAUGACGGUACUGUAAGAAUAAGCACCGGCUAACUACGUGCCAGCAGCCGCAGUAA
rnacentral:rRNA from 1 species